GUUGAAACCAAAUCUGUCA
rnacentral:siRNA from 1 species